rnacentral:lncRNA from 1 species
CACAAACCAGAAUUCUGGGAAAGCAGAGCUUCAGUGCCCCAGGCCCCUGACUACUGCCCACCCUACAUGUUCUACCAGUCUCUUGGGACCCUCUUCGGCUGCCCCUCUAGGGGUCCCGAAACACUUCAGGAUGGAAAAGAAUAUCGAGUGAUCCAGUAUCAAGGACGCAACAGGGGACGUGACAGCAGAAGACCACAGGGUCACUUCAGCGGGGCAUGCCAUGAAGAUCUCCAUAGAGAAGCACUUUCUAUGCCUGGUUUUACCUAAUUCGCUCUCAGUCACACUCCAGGAGGUUUUGGGCAUAUGAUGCCCAUUUUGCAGAUGAAGAAACUAAGUUUCAAGGAUGUUGUCCAGUGGCUUAUCCAGGGUCACAGAGUAAGAAAAGUCUAACUUGAAUUC